UACGAAGGGGCUAGCGUUGCUCGGAAUCACUGGCGUAAAGCGCACGUAGGCGGAUUGCUAAGUCAGGGGUGAAAUCCUGGAGCUCAACUCCAGAACUGCCUUGAUACUGGCGACCUUGAGUCCGGGAGAGGUGAGUGGAACUGCGAGUGUAGAGGUGAAAUCGUAGAGUAUUCGCAAGAACACCAGUGGCGAAGGCGGCUCACUGGCCCGGUACUGACGCUGAGGUGCGAAGCCAGGGAGCAAACGGG
rnacentral:rRNA from 1 species